rnacentral:lncRNA from 1 species
AGAGAGACUGUAAUGUCUUAGAAUGAGAGAUAUGCAAUGUUGUUUUUCAAAGAGAACGGGGAUGGGUACUUAUAGUACUAAAAUGAGUGAACAAACAAGGCACCAAACUAUAAUUAAGGAACGAGCAUCAAUCACAAUCCAUCAAUUUAAGGAUUUUCCCUUUAAUUAAGGAUCCAAGACUAUCGGCAACAAGCAGUGGAUCUAAAAAGGGAAAAGAAUCAAUCAGACUUUACAUUUACCCUAGUAAGAGCACAUAAUAUGCAAUAGAGGUUAGAUACAUAAUAAUUCGAGUAAGGAAAAUAUAUGCU